rnacentral:rRNA from 1 species
GCUCAGGACGAACGCUGGCGGCGUGCUUAACACAUGCAAGUCGAACGAUGAUGCCCAGCUUGCUGGGCGGAUUAGUGGCGAACGGGUGAGUAACACGUGGGUGAUCUGCCCUGCACUUCGGGAUAAGCCUGGGAAACUGGGUCUAAUACCGGAUAUGACCAUGGGAUGCAUGUCCUGUGGUGGAAAGGUUUACUGGUGCAGGAUGAGCCCGCGGCCUAUCAGCUUGUUGGUGGGGUAAUGGCCUACCAAGGCGACGACGGGUAGCCGGCCUGAGAGGGCGACCGGCCACACUGGGACUGAGACACGGCCCAGACUCCUACGGGAGGCAGCAGUGGGGAAUAUUGCACAAUGGGCGAAAGCCUGAUGCAGCGACGCCGCGUGAGGGAUGACGGCCUUCGGGUUGUAAACCUCUUUCAGCAGGGACGAAGCGCAAGUGACUGUACCUGCAGAAGAAGCACCGGCUAACUACGUGCCAGCAGCCGCGGUAAUACGUAGGGUGCGAGCGUUGUCCGGAAUUACUGGGCGUAAAGAGUUCGUAGGCGGUUUGUCGCGUCGUGUGUGAAAUCCCGCAGCUCAACUGCGGGCUUGCAGGCGAUACGGGCAGACUUGAGUACUGCAGGGGAGACUGGAAUUCCUGGUGUAGCGGUGAAAUGCGCAGAUAUCAGGAGGAACACCGGUGGCGAAGGCGGGUCUCUGGGCAGUAACUGACGCUGAGGAACGAAAGCGUGGGUAGCGAACAGGAUUAGAUACCCUGGUAGUCCACGCCGUAAACGGUGGGCGCUAGGUGUGGGUUUCCUUCCACGGGAUCCGUGCCGUAGCUAACGCAUAAGCGCCCCGCC